rnacentral:lncRNA from 1 species
AACUAAUAAAAAAAUAAAUUACAUAACUCGUUUGGAAACUGCAAGAUAAAUCUAUUAAGCAUAAUUAAUCUGUCAUUAGCACAUGUGGGUUACUGUAGCACUUAAGGCUAAUCAUAGACUAACUAGGCUUAAAAGAUUCGUCUCGCGAUUUUCAACCAAACUGUGUAAUUAGUUUAUUUUUUUAUCUACAUUUAAUAUUCCAUGCAUGUGUC